rnacentral:rRNA from 1 species
UACGUAGGUGGCAAGCGUUGUCCGGAUUUAUUGGGUUUAAAGGGUGCGUAGGCGGUCUAUUAAGUCAGUGCUGAAAUAUCCCAGCUUAACCGGGAGGGUGGCAUUGAUACUGAUGGACUUGAGUGCAGUCGAGGUAGGCGGAAUUGACGGUGUAGCGGUGAAAUGCUUAGAUAUCGUCAAGAACACCGAUAGUGAAGACAGCUUACUAGACUGUAACUGACGCUGAGGCACGAAAGUGUGGGGAUCAAACAGG